rnacentral:rRNA from 1 species
CUGGGCCUACGGGAGGCAGCAGUAGGGAAUCUUCCACAAUGGACGAAAGUCUGAUGGAGCAACGCCGCGUGAGUGAAGAAGGGCUUCGGCUCGGAAAGCUCUGUUGGUAGUGAAGAAAGAUAGAGGUAGUAACUGGCCUUUAUUUGACGGUAAUUACUUAGAAAGUCACGGCUAACUACGUGCCAGCAGCCGCGGUAAUACGUAGGGGUCAAGCGUUGUCCGGAUUUAUUGGGGGUAAA